rnacentral:rRNA from 1 species
GCUUACGGCCACACCGCCUUUGGUUCACGCCCGAUCUCGUUUGAUCCGGAAGCUAAGAUAGGUUGGGCCUGGUUAGUACUUGGAUGGGAGACCGCCUGGGAAUACCAGGUGCUGUAAGCU